rnacentral:lncRNA from 1 species
UGCCCUCGGGCCUGGCUCGCCCGCGGGCGGAUGGCUCCGGGUCUCUGCUGCUGAGGAUGUGGCUGCCGGGCGGAGGUCGUCCACUCCCCUGGGCCUUUCUCCGCGAGCCCUCCCACGCCGCCCGCUCCUCUCCCGGGGCGAAGGGCGGGGACGAGGCGCGCCGAAGCCCCGAGCUGAAGAGAAGGGUGGGGGCAUGAGGGCGCUGGAGUGAGGAACAGAUUGGAGCCUUCCCACUUCCUCUCCAAUCUCAGCCCCCGGGAGGAGGGGUGAGGCCCUCGAGGGGGCCCGGAGUUAAGGAGGAAUAGACCGUUUCUCUCUCUCCUGUCUCCCCCGCCUCUGCCCGUCUUCCCUCUAAGCCGGCCUCUAGGUGCAGAGGCUGACGUCCAGGAUGGGGACCGGGGAAGCCUCUGGAGGGUAUAUCCGGGAAGGCACCAAGGCUGAAGUGAGAGCGGUUCUGGGGAAGGCUUUAAAAAGCAGAUAUGGACCAGGGUAGAGUUCGUACGCUGUAGCUUUUCAAGAACACCGAUCUCAUUAAUUAAAGAACAGCAACUAUUUAAUUCCAGUUAUAAACUAUUGUUUUCCAGUUAGUCUGGGUAGGUGUGGCCGUUUGUAGAAUAGUUAGAUUACAUUAGUCUAUUGCGUUGGUACAGUUGUCUAUAGCUUGAGCAUAUAAAAACUCCUGAGCCCAGCAGAAAAGUUACUUUCCAAUACCAGUCUCCAUCCUCCGUGCUUUGGAAGUUGCAUCGUUUUCCGGUUUUUCGUACUCAAAGAACACUGUCAAUUAUGACAGCUCUGUGACCUCUGAAAGAUGCAGUCUAGCACCUCAGUUAAGAAUAUGGACUCUAAAGUCAGACUGCCAGGCUUCAAAUUCCAGUUCUGCGACCUCAGCAAAGUUACUUAACCAAGCUCUCAGUGCCUUGUUUUCUUCAUCUGUAAAAUGAGGAUGACGUCACAGCAUUGUUGAGAGAAUUAAUACAGGCUCCAGACUUGUGAAUGGAGAAGUGUUGAGGUGACCCCAGCUCCAGCCACCAGCUGACGACAACCAUACCGGAGAUCCUGAGAGCUGCCUAGCUGACCCCAGGCACCCCCCAGACUUCAUGUAAGCUGUUUGAAGCCGAGGACUUUGUCUGUUUUGUUCACUCCCAAUAGAUUCAGCACUUAGAAGAAUGCCAGGCAGGCUUUCCCCACCAACCAAGAUGGAAUAACAGGGAAAAGACAUACCCUUCUAUCUUCAAUAAUUGGAAACCCAGACAAAGUUUAUGAAACGCUGGUUUUCAAGACAUAGGACAUCAGACAAUCAAGGACAGUAAACACUGAGAUGGGAAACAAACAAGGAAGCCAUGAAAACUUCAAAACUGCUUCACCACCUGGAGACCAAGCACCCUGCAUUAAAAGACAAGCCUUUGGAGUUUUUCUAAAGAAAAAACAUGAACACAGAGAACAGAAGUAAUUAUUGAAGGCCACUACUUCAUUAAGUGUGUCUGUACUGAGAGCAUCGUUCCUAGUGGCUAACCACGUUAUUAGGCUAAGAAGCCCUUUAGUAUUGGUGAAGAGUUGAUCCUGCCUGCUGCUAAGGACAUUUGUCAUGAACUUUUAGGAGAGGCUGCUGUUCAAAAGGUGGCACAUGUUCCUCUUUCAGCUAACACCAUAACUAGAAGAAUGGAUGAAAUAGCAGAGAAUAUUGAGGCACAAUUGUUAGAGAGGAUUAAUGAGUCACCGUGCUACACAAUCCACAAAAGGGUUUUGUCCCAGAAAUAGACUCAUACAUAUAUGAUCAGUGAUUUUCAACAGUGGUACAAAUGCAAGUCAGCGCAGAAAAAAUAAUCUCUUCAACAAAUGGUGCAGGAACAAUUGGAUAUCCAUAAAAUGAACUCGGAUCCACGCUUUGCACCAUAUGCAAAAAUUGACUCAAAAUAGGUAUAGGUCCUAGACCUAAAUGUAACAACCUGAAACUCUAAAAUUUCUCAGGAAAAAAAUGGGAUAAAAUCUUUGUGGUCUUGGAUUAGGCAAAGAUAUUUUCUUGUGUUUGUGGGUAAAGAAACCUUUAAUGAGGGUUCAAGGUGUAAGAGGAGGACCUUGUAGAGAGCCAGCGCUUAGCCCCAGCCUCCUCAUAUGCACAUGGCUCUGUAGAGGUUCUCCAGACAGUGCUGCUGCUGCUGUUUCGAGCCUUAUCUCCUCUGUGCUCCUC